CCUACGGGCGGCAGCAGUGAGGAAUAUUGGACAAUGGCCGUAAGCCUGAUGCAGCCACGCCGCGUGAAGGAAGAAGGAUUUAUGGUUUGUAAGCUUCUUUUAUAGGGGAAUAAAGGUAUGCACGUGUGGAUAUUUGCAUGUACCCUAUGAAUAAGCAUCGGCUAACUCCGUGCCAGCAGCCGCGGUAAUACGGAGGAUGCGGGCGUUAUCCGGAUUUAUUGGGUUUAAAGGGUGCGUAGGUGGUUGUUUAAGACAGCGGUGAAAGUGUGUGGCUCAACCAUAAGAUUGCCGUUGAAACUGGAAGGCUGGAGUGUGUUUGAGGUAGGCGGAAUGCCUGGUGUAGCGGUGAAAUGCGUAGAUAUCACGCAGAACUCCGAUUGCGAAGGCAGCUUACUGGGACGUAACUGACACUGAGGCACGAAAGCGUGGGGAGCAAACAGGAUUAGAUACCCCUGUAGUC
rnacentral:rRNA from 1 species